rnacentral:lncRNA from 1 species
UCCCAUUUGGUAUAAAUUAGUCAAGGAAUUAUAAUUUCAACACUAUAAUUCCGAGAUAAUUUAUUCUAUAUAACAAAUGAAAAGGGCCGUUUAAUAGGGUGUGUAAGAAUAAUGCAAAAUAUGAUAUACUAAUAAUGUUAACAAUAGUUUUAUUUUCCUUAGUUAUUCCUUCGUGGAUAGAUCACUAAACCAUCAUGAUACCGAAAUCAACAUACUUAUGAGAAAGCCUCAAGACAGAGAGUUGAUAGGGUGUGUAAGAAUAAUGCAAAAUAUGAUAUACUAAUAAUGUUAACAAUAGUUUUAUUUUCCUUAGUUAUUCCUUCGUGGAUAGAUCACUAAACCAUCAUGAUACCGAAAUCAACAUACUUAUGAGAAAGCCUCAAGACAGAAAGUUAUUAUUAUUAAUAAUAGCUCUUUAUU